AACGAACGUUAGCGGCGCGCCUAACACAUGCAAGUCGAGCGGGAACUUCGGUUCUAGCGGCGGACGGGUGAGUAAUGCGUAGGAAGCUACCCGACAGAGGGGGAUACCAGUUGGAAACGACUGUUAAUACCGCAUAAUGUCUACGGACCAAAGUGUGGGACCUUCGGGCCACAUGCUGUCGGAUGCGCCUACGUGGGAUUAGCUAGUUGGUGAGGUAAUGGCUCACCAAGGCGACGAUCCCUAGCUGGUUUGAGAGGCUGAUCAGCCACACUGGAACUGAGACACGGUCCAGACUCCUACGGGAGGCAGCAGUGGGGAAUAUUGGACAAUGGGCGAAAGCCUGAUCCAGCCAUGCCGCGUGUGUGAAGAAGGCCUUCGGGUUGUAAAGCACUUUCAGUAGGGAGGAAGAGUUGAGUGUUAAUAGUACUCAGCUUUGACGUUACCUACAGAAGAAGCACCGGCUAACUCUGUGCCAGCAGCCGCAGUAAAAC
rnacentral:rRNA from 1 species